GACUAACGCUAACGGUGUGCAUAAUACAUGUAAGUCGAACGGGCAAUGCGAGAGUGGCAACACUCCUGCAAAGCCAGUGGCGAACGGGUGAGUAACGCGUAGGUAAUCUGCCCCGGAGAUUAGGAUAACUUUCCGAAAGGAAAGCUAAUACUAAAUACUUUAUAUUUUCGCAUGAUUAAUAUAACAAAGGUAGCCGCAAGGCUUCCGCUCCAGGAUGAACCUGCGUCCUAUUAGCUUGUUGGUAAGGUAACGGCUUACCAAGGCUAUGAUGGGUAGCCGGCCUGAGAGGGUGAUCGGCCACACUGGGACUGAGAUACGGCCCAGACUCCUACGGGAGGCAG
rnacentral:rRNA from 1 species